UACAUAUAGAAAAGUCUCACGGAAUUUUUUUGUUUAGUUGUCUAAAUCAGAAAUAAAAAAAAUGUAGAGAACACUGGUCAUGUUAUUUCUAAAAUUUUUAUUCUGUGUUCUUUUUUAAGGUAAAAGGCUCUAAUAUGACAACACAAUUUGUAAUUAGCUCUAUAAAUUUCAUGUAAUUGAUUUAUGCUUCUAAUAAAUCAUUUAGUUGUCUUUCCUCGAUAUUCUCUCAAAUUGUAAAUAUUAAGGUCGAAUAUAUUAUUCCACUAUAAACAUAUACUAUCUCUCUUUAUAUAUCAAACAUAUAAAUAUUUUUAAU
rnacentral:lncRNA from 1 species